rnacentral:rRNA from 1 species
AGAGUUUGAUCAUGGCUCAGAUUGAACGCUGGCGGCAUGCCUUACACAUGCAAGUCGAACGGCAGCACGGGAGCAAUCCUGGUGGCGAGUGGCGAACGGGUGAGUAAUAUAUCGGAACGUGCCCAGUCGUGGGGGAUAACGCAGCGAAAGCUGUGCUAAUACCGCAUACGAUCUACGGAUGAAAGCGGGGGAUCGCAAGACCUCGCGCGAUUGGAGCGGCCGAUAUCAGAUUAGGUUGUUGGUGGGGUAAAAGCCCACCAAGCCGACGAUCUGUAGCUGGUCUGAGAGGACGACCAGCCACACUGGAACUGAGACACGGUCCAGACUCCUACGGGAGGCAGCAGUGGGGAAUUUUGGACAAUGGGCGCAAGCCUGAUCCAGCAAUGCCGCGUGCAGGAUGAAGGCCUUCGGGUUGUAAACUGCUUUUGUACGGAACGAAACGGUCUGCUCUAAUACAGUGGGCUAAUGACGGUACCGUAAGAAUAAGCACCGGCUAACUACGUGCCAGCAGCCGCGGUAAUACGUAGGGUGCGAGCGUUAAUCGGAAUUACUGGGCGUAAAGCGUGCGCAGGCGGUUAUAUAAGACAGAUGUGAAAUCCCCGGGCUCAACCUGGGACCUGCAUUUGUGACUGUAUAGCUAGAGUGCGGCAGAGGGGGAUGGAAUUUCCGCGUGUAGCAGUGAAAUGCGUAGAUAUGCGGAGGAACACCGAUGGCGAAGGCAAUCCCCUGGGGCCUGCACUGACGCUCAUGCACGAAAGCGUGGGGAGCAAACAGGAUUAGAUACUCUGGUAGUCCACGCCCUAAACGAUGUCAACUGGUGUUGGGUCUUCACUGACUCAGUAACGAAGCUAACGCGUGAAGUUGACCGCCUGGGGGAGGUACGGCUGCAAGGUGAAACUCAAAGGAAUUGAC